GGGGCCGUUAGCUUAGCUGGUAGAGCAGCGGAUUUUUAAUCCGUUGGUCACUGGUUCGAACGCAGUGGCCCAU
rnacentral:tRNA from 1 species